UACGGAGGGUGCGAGCGUUGUCCGGAAUCACUGGGCGUAAAGGGCGCGUAGGCGGCCUGAUAAGUAGGGGGUGAAAUCUUGCGGCUCAACCGCAAGGCUGCCUUCUAAACUGUCAGGCUGGAGCACGGUAGAGGCAGAUGGAAUUCCCGGUGUAGCGGUGGAAUGCGCAGAUAUCAGGAGGAACACCGGUGGCGAAGGCGGGUCUCUGGGCCGAUACUGACGCUGAGGAGCGAAAGCGUGGGGAGCGAACAGG
rnacentral:rRNA from 1 species